rnacentral:lncRNA from 1 species
UAAUCUAUUCUUUCUUUACUCCGUUGACAAUGGGACAAUGUUCUUUUUGUGUUUCAGAGUAAAAAAACAGACUCCAAUCUGAAUCUGACGAGUAAAAAAAUAUCGUUGUGUUUCAGAGUGUUACGCAAUUUAUCAACAAGAGCAAAGACUCUAAUCUGAUGAUGUAGGACAGCUUUAAUGUGACAGAGGAUCAUGGUGGUCGAUGGAUUGUGCACCCGGUAGUAGACUAGGAAAGGAACAUUAUUUACGGAACACAAUGAUAUUCAGAGCAGCCCUGCACUAUGUGAGAUUUAGAAGGUAUUCAAAUUAGUGUUUGUUGAUAACUGCAAAUUCCGUGUGUCCGAGUUUCAUAUUUUUCUUUCUAUCCCUGUCAACGUACUAAUCCGUUGUUCUUUGAUGUGCAGUUGGUACUGCCGGCGGAUGCAUCCAUGUGCUAAUCUCCUGGCACCGCGUAGACGGAGCCAAACGAGUUGGGGCCUCCAGCCGGCUGGUAGUGGACAACAACACCGGGUUUGUUAAUUAAUCAACAAGUCACAGAUUGUCCUCUUUUCUGAUUGGUCUGGUGUGGAUUAUCAGGCCUGCCGCGCAAUCAUAGAUUUAUCUUUUGAUUUUUGUGGGUGGACAGAAACACCCUUUCUAAAGUUUUCUAGGGAUUGUAAUGAAGCACAGUAACACACUCCAGCAUUCAUUCUUUGCUUGAUAUUAGCAAACAAUGUAAAAUAACCAAGCUCACAACAUUCUAAAGCGGUCUAUUAGCUACUUCAGCAGACAACAGACAGAAAGAAGUA